CGUAACGCGUGGAAUCUGCCCUUUGCUACGGAAUAACUCAGAGAAAUUUGUGCUAAUACCGUAUAAUGUCGUAAGACCAAAGAUUUAUCGGCAAAGGAUGAGCCCGCGUAAGAUUAGCUUGUUGGUGAGGUAAAGGCUCACCAAGGCGACGAUCUUUAGCUGGUCUGAGAGGAUGAUCAGCCACACUGGGACUGAGACACGGCCCAGACUCCUACGGGAGGCAGCAGUGGGAAUAUUGGACAAUGGGCGAAAGCCUGAUCCAGCAAUGCCGCGUGAGUGAUGAAGGCCUUAGGGUUGUAAAGCUCUUUUACCAGGGAUGAUAAUGACAGUACCUGGAGAAUAAGCUCCGGCUAACUCCGUG
rnacentral:rRNA from 1 species